AAGACUAUACUUUCAGGAUCAUUUCUAUAGUUUGUUACUAGAUUAGGUCUCUUCUAACACCUUUUUAUACCUCCCUCCAUGUGUCUAUUUACUUAUCAUAAUUGUAACUGUGGA
rnacentral:snoRNA from 1 species